UCCGUAGGGCGCAAGCGUUGUCCGGAAUUAUUGGGCGUAAAGAGCUCGUAGGCGGUCUGUUACGUCUGCUGUGAAAACCCGGGGCUUAACCCCGGGCUUGCAGUGGAUACGGGCAGACUAGAGGCAGGUAGGGGAGAAUGGAAUUCCCGGUGUAGCGGUGAAAUGCGCAGAUAUCGGGAGGACCACCGGUGGCGAAGGCGGUUCUCUGGGCCUGACCUGACGCUGAGGAGCGAAAGCGUGGGGAGCGAACAGG
rnacentral:rRNA from 1 species